AUUAUAGAAGAAGAAUAUGAAGGUAGUAACUCUAAUGUCAAAUAUGGGUGUCAAAUAUGAUGAUUGUGUCAAAGAAAGACUCCAAUGAAAUCAGACUUUGCAUUGAUCUGAGAGCAGUGAACAAAGCAAGAACAUCUUCCUGUACCAGCCAUAGAUAAUAUCUUAUAUGCUAUGCAAGGUGUGAAUAUUUUUACCAGUUUGGAUGCUACCAAAGGAUUUUGGCAAGUGGAACUUGCACUAGAGUCAAGGAAUUUGACAACCUUUAUUGCACACAGAGGAUGUUGUAGAUUUUGUAAAGUUCCCUUUGGACUUUCAAGUGCCCCAGAGGCUUAUCAAAAAGUUGUGGAUUUUAUUUUGCAAGUUCUUGCUGGAGUGGUUUGUAAUUUUGAAGAUGCAGCUCUGUAUGCCAUCAAUGUUAAAUAGCUCUGAGAUAGAUUAAAGGCAGUUUUUGAGAGAUUCCAAAAGAGAGGAUUGAAGAUAAAUAAAAAUAAAUGUCUCUUUGGCCUUGACAAGAUUGUGAUCUUAGGCCAUGUGGUUUCAGCUGAAGGACUGAAUCCUGAUCCAAAGAAGGUGAAAGCCAUCUUACAAGCCCCCAAACCCAGACAUUUAGAACUUGUUUUGGGCAACUUGUUGCUUUCUCAUGAAAUUUAUUCCUAAUGAUGCAGAUAUUUCCAAUCCACUUCUGUAGUGAAUUUAAGCCUUUGUCUCAGAGCCAGCUCACAUGGGGGACAGAUUGCUGAAUCAUCCCUGCUGAGCUUCCAUUUUAAAACAUUUUUACUUUAGACCUUCGACAGAUUAAAAUGCUGUCACCAGACACUCUUUUAUCAGAGAGUGGACAGCCUGGGCUGGCAUGCCACAGCCUAGACUUCUCUCUUUAUCUUGCUAUUGGGCAAAUACCAAAACCUUCCACAUGUAUGCCUACAUGUAGGUAGCUGGCUUUAGCAGCCAUGCUGGAGUCAUUUGCACUGUGGGCCCACCCUAGCUUUCUAGAGUAAAUCAAGCACCCUGUGGGACAUUUUAGAAAAGAAAAGAAAAUGCUAUAUUAAAUUGCUACAAAAAUAGUUUGGCUUAUGUUCCAGCUUUUUGGUUACAGAGUAUUUUAAAAAUGCCCGCAUAUUUUAAGGCAGCAUGUAGGUAAUUCAGUUACUCAGUUACUGUUACAAGGGGCAAAAAACAGAUAUUGAGCUAUGCAUGUGCGCACACGUGUAACUAGUAACUCAGAAUUGCAAACCCCUGUGAUGCAGAACACUGAGGAACUCUCUGAGAACAGUGAUAGCAGAACAGCUGAUGAAACUGAUACUCCUGAUGUAGAACUUGCUCCGGAAAAGACUACGAGGCAUGGACGAGUAGUUAAAAGAACCUCCAGAUCUAAGGAUACGGUUAUGAAGGAAGAGUGCAACUCAAUCCGGAACAGGCCAGAUACCUUUCUCCAGACUACCAGAAGCCCCAGCCAUCUUGUCUGGAAGAAGUUCUAUCCAGGAACCACUUGAUCUGCUUUCUUAUUCCCCUUCUAGGCACUCUACUCAAUCCUACAGAUUGGUGGGCAAAAGGUACAGUGCUGUCUUCUUCACGCUCCAGCAAAGUGCUAUCAACAGAUAGCCCAUUAGUUUUCCUUGACCAGGACUCCUUCCAAAUGCUUCCAGGGCAGGCCCAGAAAUUUGCUUGGAAAACCAUAUAGAUUAGGCCAUACCUGUCUAGCUCACUUCCUUCUUAUAAGCCUCUGCCUCUAGAAGGCUUCCUUAAUACCUCCCUUUGGACUGAUACUUCAACUUCAAACUGGCCAGUGAAGAAUUCAGUUUUGGAUAUCCUCUUUCUGCACAGUGUUUUGGAUCUCAGUUCAGAUGCUCAUGGAGCUCCCUGGCAAGGCCAGACCCCCAUCCUACAGGCAAGAAAGAGACCUGGUUAGCAACACGCAUAUUCAAACCCCUUCCUUUUUGGCAAGCCUCAGCUGAAAUAAAUAUCACUUGGGGACUGCAUAGAUCUGCUUUCCUG